rnacentral:rRNA from 1 species
UACGAGAGGCCCAAACGUUAUUCGGAUUUACUGGGCUUAAAGAGUUCGUAGGCGGCAUGAAAGGCAGGGUGUGAAAGCCCUCGGCUCAACCGAGGAAUUGCGCUCUGAACUGUCGUGCUAGAGGAAUCUAGAGGUGAGCGGAACUGAUGGUGGAGCGGUGAAAUGCGUUGAUAUCAUCAGGAACACCGGAGGCGAAGGCGGCUCACUGGGGAUUUUCUGACGCUGAGGAACGAAAGCCAGGGGAGCGAACGGG